UACGGAGGGAGCUAGCGUUGUUCGGAAUUACUGGGCGUAAAGCGCACGUAGGCGGCUUUGUAAGUUAGAGGUGAAAGCCCGGGGCUCAACCCCGGAAUUGCCUUUAAGACUGCAUCGCUUGAAUCCGGGAGAGGUGAGUGGAAUUCCGAGUGUAGAGGUGAAAUUCGUAGAUAUUCGGAAGAACACCAGUGGCGAAGGCGGCUCACUGGACCGGUAUUGACGCUGAGGUGCGAAAGCGUGGGGGAUCAAACAGG
rnacentral:rRNA from 1 species